rnacentral:rRNA from 1 species
ACUGGGAUUGCCUUAGUAACGGCGAGUGAAGCGGCAAUAGCUCAAAUUUGAAAGCUGGCUCCUUCGGAGUCCGCGUUGUAAUUUGUAGAGGAUGCUUCGGCAAGGGCUCCCGUCUAAGUCCCCUGGAACGGGGCGUCACAGAGGGUGAGAAUCCCGUAUGUGAUGGGUUGCCUAAGCCAUGUGAAGCUCCUUCGACGAGUCGAGUUGUUUGGGAAUGCAGCUCUAAAUGGGAGGUAAAUUUCUUCUAAAGCUAAAUACCGGCCAGAGACCGAUAGCGCACAAGUAGAGUGAUCGAAAGAUGAAAAGCACUUUGGAAAGAGAGUUAAAAAGUACGUGAAAUUGUUGAAAGGGAAGCGCUUGCAGCCAGACUUGUCCGCAGUUGCUCAGCCGGUCUCUUGACCGGCGUACUCUUCUGCGGCCAGGCCAGCAUCAGUUCGGGCGGUCGGAUAAAGGUCCUGGGAAUGUAGCUCCCCUCGGGGAGUGUUAUAGCCCAGGGCGCAAUGCGGCCAGCCUGGACUGAGGAUCUCGCUUCGGCUAGGAUGCUGGCGUAAUGGCUGUAAGCGGCCCGUCUUGAAACACGGACCAAGGAGUCUAACAUCUAUGCGAGUGUUUGGGUGUCAAACCCAUGCGCGUAAUGAAAGUGAACGGAGGUGGGAACCCUCACGGGUGCACCAUCGACCGAUCCUGAUGUCUUCGGAUGGAUUUGAGUAAGAGCAUAGCUGUUGGGACCCGAAAGAUGGUGAACUAUGCCUGAAUAGGGUGAAGCCGGAGGAAACUCUGGUGGAGGCUCGCAGCGGUU